rnacentral:rRNA from 1 species
GAUGAACGCUGGCGGCGUGCCUAAUACAUGCAAGUCGAGCGAACGGACGAGAAGCUUGCUUCUCUGAUGUUAGCGGCGGACGGGUGAGUAACACGUGGAUAACCUACCUAUAAGACUGGGAUAACUUCGGGAAACCGGAGCUAAGACCGGAUAAUAUUUUGAACCGCAUGGUUCAAAAGUGAAAGACGGUCUUGCUGUCACUUAUAGAGGGAUCCGCGCUGCAUUAGCUAGUUGGUAAGGUAACGGCCUACCAAGGCAACGAUGCAUAGCCGACCUGAGCGGGUGAUCGGCCACACUAGCACUGAGACACGGUCCAGACUCCUACGGGAGGAAGCAGUAGAGAAUCUUACGCGAUGGGCGAAAGCCUGACAGAGCACCGCCGCGUGAGUGAUGAAGGUCUGCGGAUCGUAGAACUCUGUUAUUAGGCAAGAACAAAUGUGUAAGUAACUGUGAACAUCUUGACGGUACCUAAUCAGAAAGCCACGGCUAACUACGUG